rnacentral:rRNA from 1 species
UACGAAGGGGGCUAGCGUUGUUCGGAAUUACUGGGCGUAAAGCGCGCGCAGGCGGCUAUCCAAGUCAGUGGUGAAAGCCCGGAGCUCAACUCCGGAACUGCCAUUGAAACUGUUUAGCUUGAGGAUGAGAGAGGUGAGUGGAAUUCCCAGUGUAGAGGUGAAAUUCGUAGAUAUUGGGAAGAACACCGGUGGCGAAGGCGGCUCACUGGCUCAUUACUGAUGCUCAGGCGCGAUAGCGUGGGGAUCAAACAGG